CUACAUAUGCUCUUCUAAUGAGAUACCGAGGUCACAAAGAUCUCGGUUUUGAUGGUCCACUAGAGGAGGGGGCUGAGGGGCUAGUUCAAUAGAUUGUAUGGCUACUGGAGGUUUUGUUGUCUAUUAAAGAAAAACUGAGAUGUCUCUUCCUCUUGGAUUGAACGAUCAAAUCUCGCAGGAUCCCUACCAACUCAUUUCUAGCAUUCUUAUGGUCUAACAAAUGCUAAUAUUCCUACUAUUCUUGAUACAACCCUUGCUAUUUUAAAAGUUGGGUUUCAAGGAGCCUUAUUUUUUUUUUUGAAUCUCA
rnacentral:lncRNA from 1 species